rnacentral:rRNA from 1 species
CGCGUAGGCGGGGAGGUAAGUCGGGUGUGAAAUCCCUCGGCCCAACCGAGGAACUGCGCCCGAGACUGCUUCUCUUGAGUCCCGGAGAGGAAGAUGGAAUUCCCGGCGUAGCGGUGAAAUGUGUAGAGAUCGGGAGGAACACCGGUGGCGAAGGCGGUCUUCUGGACGGUGACUGACGCUGAGGCGCGAAAGCGUGGGGAGCAAACG